CUCCCUCUGGUGCCUCACCCUGAAUGCCUGCUCCAGUGUGAAUCCACUGCCCGUUCACUUUCUCAUAUCCCAUGCGUAUAAGUGUCCGUGCAGUGUAUGUGUCAGUGUGAUGCAGGCUCUUGGAUGCCUCCUCCUCGAGAGGUAAACCAUGCUGACGGAAGAUCAAUGUGAGUAUCAUACCAUAAGGUAGUGAUACCCUGUUGCUGCACAU
rnacentral:lncRNA from 1 species